AUCCGAGCCUUCUUAGUGGAAGAACAAAAGAUUGUGAAAAAGGUUUUGAAGAUUCAAAAGUCAAAAGAGAAGCAAGCUUCAAGGAGCUAAAAGGAAAAGGAGAGAAUAAUAAAUCGAAGUCAUGUGAGUUGGAAGAUAUGCUACAGAGAAUUUUGGGGCAAUGAAAUGUAGGAUUUGAAUUUGGAGAUUGUCAAUUUUUACUUAUUUGAUACAAUUGAUUGUUU
rnacentral:misc_RNA from 1 species